rnacentral:lncRNA from 1 species
AUUCAGUGUGGAAGAUGAUCAAAGUAUGACAUUUCUUCUACCCCAGAGGCUGGCAUUUCUGCAGGCACAAAUGAGCUUGGUUUUCAAGCACUGCUCUUUGAACACAAGGAAUUCCUUUAAUGAUCACGCCGGACUAUAUAGACUUUGGAAUCAGACUCUUUGAAUUCCAGCUCUGCCAUUUACCAACUUUGACACUUUGGACAACGUCUCAUUCUGUCACCCAGGCUGGAGUGCAAUGGCACAAUUAUAGCUCACUGCAGCCUCAAACACCUGGGCUCAAGCAAUCCUUCCACCUCUGCCUCCUGAGUAAUUGGGACUACAGGUGGAUCUGCCUGUUGGUGGAGAACCCUAGACUGCAUGCAGCCAUGCACAUGAUCUGGAGACACAGCAGAGACAAGGUCUUUGUCUGUUGCUCAGGACGGAGUGUAGUGGUGCCAUAGCACACUGUAAUCUUGAAUUUCUGGACUACUGGCAUACACCACCAUGCUUAGGUUCGGGCCACAACAUCCGUGACUUUACCGGUUUUGGUCUCUUCCUUGUAACUUUCGGCUCCAGGAUGCUGCGCAGCUCCUCUCUGCACUAUCUAUCAGAACGUUGCUCUGCGUGCUUGAAAGUUUCGCCAAACAGAAGUACACAAAAACAAACAGAGGCGAAACACAAAUCCCCUCAGCCCUGGAGGAAAAGGCCUUGAAGCUCUUCCAGUGCAGAGGCCACGCAGAGGACAUGCUCCUACCUGUGCACAUCGGCCACGCCUGGGGUGCCUCCUGGAGUCCAGGCUGCUGGCGAUGGAAUCCAUCAUGUUGCUGAUGUCACUGAUUACGCCCAUACGUUGACCUGUGUUACUGAAAGAGAAAAGUUUAUUGUACCCAUCAAAGCUAGAGGGGCACGAGCCAUUCUCGAUUUUCCUGACAAGCUGAAUUUUUCCACUUGUCCUGUCAAAUACAGCACCCAGAAGAUUCUGCUGGUACGAAACAUUGGCAACAAAAAUGCUGUAUUUCACAUCAAAACUUGUAGGCCUUUCUCUAUAGAACCAGCUAUUGGAACUCUUAAUGUGGGAGAGUCCAUGCAACUGGAAGUGGAGUUUGAGCCACAGAGUGUGGGCGAUCACAGUGGAAGACUUAUCGUGUGUUAUGACACAGGUGAAAAGGUGUUUGUAUCUCUCUAUGGAGCUGCCAUAGACAUGAAUAUAAGGCUGGAUAAGAAUUCCUUGACCAUCGAGAAAACCUACAUAUCUCUGGCCAAUCAGCGAACUAUAACCAUUCACAAUCGCAGUAAUAUCAUUGCCCAU